rnacentral:rRNA from 1 species
UACGGGGGGGGCAAGCGUUGUUCGGAAUUACUGGGCGUAAAGGGCUCGUAGGCGGCCAACUAAGUCAGACGUGAAAUCCCUAGGCUCAACCUAGGAACUGCGUCUGAUACUGGAUGGCUUGAAUCCGGGAGAGGGAUGCAGAAUUCCAGGUGUAGCGGUGAAAUGCGUAGAUAUCUGGAGGAAUACCGGUGGCGAAGGCGGCAUCCUGGACCGGCAUUGACGCUGAGGAGCGAAAGCGUGGGGAGCAAACGGG